UCAUCUUCAACUAAAACCCCCUUAGACCUUUUAAUUUUGUUUUUAAAUUUGGUUGAAUUUCAAGGUUGGUCAAUUGGGAAACGAUCUGGGUUGCCACUUUUACUAAAAGUAGUGUUUUAACUCAGUUUUAUUAAUUUUGCUGAGUUCAAUGUGACAUAACCCUUCAACAAACUCUUAAAUUAUAAUUUUACUUUUAAGGAG
rnacentral:lncRNA from 1 species